CCUACGGGUGGCAGCAGUGGGGAAUAUUGGGCAAUGGGCGCAAGCCUGACCCAGCAACGCCGCGUGAAGGAAGAAGGCUUUCGGUUUGUAAACUUCUUUUCUCAGGGACGAAGCAAGUGACGGUACCUGAGGACUAAGCCUCGGCUAACUACGUGCCAGCAGCCGCGUUAAUACGUAGGUGGCAAGCGUUAUACGGAUUUACUGGGUGUAAAGGGCGCGUAGGCGGGACUGCAAGUCAGAUGUGAAAAUCACGGGCUCAACCUGUGGCCUGCAUUUGAAACUGUAGUUCUUGAGUACUGGAGAGGCAGACGGAAUUCCUAGGGUAGCGGUGAAAUGCGUAGAUAUUAGGAGGAACACCAGUGGCGAAGGCGGUCUGCUGGACAGCAACUGACGCUGAGGCGCGAAAGCGUGGGGAGCAAACAGGAUUAGAUACCCGGGUAGUC
rnacentral:rRNA from 1 species